rnacentral:lncRNA from 1 species
AAAGGAAAGAGAAAGUGCCCCGGACUCAGGGCAGCUGGACUGCAGGGAAUAUUUCCACCAUCCUCAUUCCUGGAGCGCUUUGGAGGGCCAUUUUGCAGUCUCCCACAACAAUGUCCACCCCAAGGAUCACUCAAGUAUGGAGCACAUUUCCACCACACCAAACUGACGAUGGGCUGCAUCUGCCAUGGGAGGCAGGACGAUGGACCCUGGGGUGUGCCAUGCCCCGACAAAUUGUUCCGUCGGGGUCUGAAGACACGAGGAGUGGAAGGACAGGACCCUGAAGGUGCUGGAUCAAAGGUCGGCAGAGACGAGGUGGUUGCAUUACUCUGAAGGUUACAGGCCCACAGGUAUCCAAGCUGGGGCCUUAAAAGCAAACUUAUUUAUUAUCUCACAGUUCUGGGGGCUGGAAGCCGAGAGUCAAGGCAUCGUUGGAGCUGUCUCCCUCUGAAACCAGGAGCAGAGAUUCUGUCCUCGGCUCUUCCCAGCAUCUGGUGACUUGUGGGGCCUUCAGAGCCUCUUGAC